GGUGUUUGACCCGAAAAGAAGCCAAGUUUAGGAACUCAUGCAGCUUCCAGUCAUGUGCAUGAAUGGUGGCCCGUAAGAGUUUGAAAGGAUAAAGCUCAGGCAGCAGUGCUACAGUGUAGAUCUGAAACAAACUGACAACCCUGCAGCACCCACGGGUUGGUCUACAGAGAGCAACCAGACACUGAGUAUUGUCCUUCAGGCUUCCCAGCAUAUGUGUGGGCUGGAGGGGAAGAAACAAAAGAAAAAGAGAGAGAAGAGCUGAUCUGAGGACAUGAUACCAAAGUGGAGUAAUGUAAAUGAGACCAAAGGAGAAAAGAAGAAAAGCAAUCCUUCAACAAAGGAUAUUUUUGUUCCUGAGCCAAAAUAAAACAUGCAUAUAGAAUAAGAAAA